UACGUAGGGGGCUAGCGUUGUCCGGAUUUAUUGGGCGUAAAGAGCGUGUAGGCGGCCAGGUAAGUCCGGUGUGAAAGUCAAAGGCUCAACCUUUGAAUGCCGCUGGAUACUGCUUGACUUGAGUCCGGAAGGGGCGAGUGGAAUUCCUGGUGUAGCGGUGAAAUGCGCAGAUAUCAGGAGGAACACCAAUGGCGAAGGCAGCUCGCUGGAACGGUACUGACGCUGAGGCGCGAAAGCGUGGGGAGCAAACAGG
rnacentral:rRNA from 1 species